GAUGAACGCUGGCGGCGUGCCUAACACAUGCAAGUCGAACGAGCUGAUUCCCUUCGGGGAUGACGCGAGUGGCGGACGGGUGAGUAACGCGUGGGUAACCUGCCCUGUACAGGGGGAUAACAGUUGGAAACGACUGCUAAUACCGCAUAAGCGCACGAGAGGACAUCCUCUUGUGUGAAAAACUCCGGUGGUACAGGAUGGGCCCGCGUCUGAUUAGAUAGUUGGCGGGGUAACGGCCCACCAAGGCGACGAUCGGUAGCCGGCCUGAGAGGGUGAUCGGCCACAUUGGGACUGAGAUACGGCCCAGACUCC
rnacentral:rRNA from 1 species